GAUGAACGCUGGCGGCGUGCCUAAUACAUGCAAGUCGAGCGAACGGACGAGAAGCUUGCUUCUCUGAUGUUAGCGGCGGACGGGUGAGUAACACGUGGAUAACCUACCUAUAAGACUGGGAUAACUUCGGGAAACCGGAGCUAAUACCGGAUGAUAUUUUGAACCGCAUGGUUCAAAAGUGAAAGACGGUCUUGCUGUCACUUAUAGGUGGAUCCGCGCUGCAUUAGCUAGUUGGUAAGGUAACGGCUUACCAAGGCAACGAUGCAUAGCCGACCUGUGAGGGUGAUCGGCCACACUGGAGCUGAGACACGGUCCAGACUCCUACGGGAGGCAGCAGUAGGGAAUCUUCCGCAAUGGGCGAAAGCCUGGCGGAGCAACGCCGCGUGAGUGAUGAAGGUCUUCGGAUCGUAAAACUCUGUUAUUAGGGAAGAACAGAUGUGUAAGUAACUGUGCACAUCUUGACGGUACCUAGUCAGAAAGCCACGGCUAACUACGUG
rnacentral:rRNA from 1 species